rnacentral:lncRNA from 1 species
GUCCCCAUGGCUUCCAUUUCAAGUGCCAUGGGAACAUUUGUUUAUUAAGAUUUUACUAUAGCGGUCAUAGGUGGAUUGUCUUUUGGUGACCCAAAGGCGAGGACUUUCAAUGUUGGCGAUGCAAUGUGUUCAGGGUUUGGGUUGACCAACUUGGAUGGGUAGUUAAACAUACCGAGCAAAUCUAAGGUUAUAGGUAUGUGUGGGUGUGGAACUUGCUGUCUGGGAUGCUGCAGUGGUCAUGGGUUGAGAUACAUGGAAUCGCCAGACGAGUCUAAUGAUUAUCAUACAUAUGGUUUAUGAAACAUUUAAUUAAUGAUUUAUGCUUCCGCUG